rnacentral:rRNA from 1 species
AGCGAACGCUGGCGGCAGGCUUAACACAUGCAAGUCGAACGCCCCGCAAGGGGAGUGGCAGACGGGUGAGUAACACGUGGGAACGUACCCUUUGGUUCGGAAUAACUUGGGGAAACUCAAGCUAAUACCGGAUAAGCCCUUAUGGGGAAAGGUUUACUGCCGAAGGAUCGGCCCGCGUCUGAUUAGCUAGUUGGUGAGGUAAUGGCUCACCAAGGCGACGAUCAGUAGCUGGUCUGAGAGGAUGAUCAGCCACACUGGGACUGAGACACGGCCCAGACUCCUACGGGAGGCAGCAGUGGGGAAUAUUGGACAAUGGGGGCAACCCUGAUCCAGCCAUGCCGCGUGAGUGAUGAAGGCCUUAGGGUUGUAAAGCUCUUUUACCCGGGACGAUAAUGACUGUACCGGGAGAAUAAGCCCCGGCUAACUUCGUGCCAGCAGCCGCCGCGG